AACGAACGCUGGCGGCAGGCUUAACACAUGCAAGUCGAACGCACCGCAAGGUGAGUGGCAGACGGGUGAGUAACACGUGGGGAUCUGCCCAAUGGUACGGAAUAGCUCCGGGAAACUGGAAUUAAUACCGUAUGAGCCCGCAAGGGGAAAGAUUUAUCGCCAUUGGAUGAACCCGCGUCGGAUUAGCUAGUUGGUGUGGUAAAGGCGCACCAAGGCGACGAUCCGUAGCUGGUCUGAGAGGAUGAUCAGCCACACUGGGACUGAGACACGGCCCAGACUCCUACGGGAGGCAGCAGUGGGGAAUAUUGGACAAUGGGCGCAAGCCUGGUCCAGCCAUGCCGCGUGAGUGAUGAAGGCCUUAGGGUUGUAAAGCUCUUUCGCCGACGAAGAUAAUGGCGGUAGUCGGAGAAGAAGCCCCGGCUAACUUCGUGCCAGCAGCCGCCGUAAAAC
rnacentral:rRNA from 1 species